CAAGUGAGCAAAUGAAAGUUACAAACUUGAGAUAUAAAUGCUUAUACAUGUACAGUAAUAUGUCUGCAGUCGAAAUAUUCCCUUAAAGGAGAGGGUUGCUAACUUGCUAUAAUAUGUUUUUUGUUUAAAAAUGGACAACUAAUGAAAUGGAGUGGGCUCAUUCGGCAAUCCUUGAAAUGGAGUUGACA